rnacentral:rRNA from 1 species
UACAUAGGGUGCAAGCGUUGUCCGGAAUUAUUGGGCGUAAAGAGCUCGUAGGUGGCUCGUCACGUCGAAUGUGAAACCCUGAGGCUCAACCUCAGGCCUGCAUCCGAUACGGGCGAACUGGAGUGUGGUAGGGGAGACUGGAAUUCCUGGUGUAGCGGUGGAAUGCGCAGAUAUCAGGAGGAACACCAAUGGCGAAGGCAGGUCUCUGGGCCACUACUGACACUGAGGAGCGAAAGCGUGGGGAGCAAACAGG